AUUCGAAGUGGCAUUCAAACACGUGGCGGUGGCCAUCUUGUUUAGUCGAACGCAUCCAGCGGUGUUUGGUCGGCGAGUGCAUGGAACUCAAAUCGGACACUUGAUGGCACGAACACCACUAAAAUUUUACCUUCCAUGGAUGUUCGACUAUUCGAACGGCAUUUGAUAAGAAGAAACUCCCGACCAAGAGACAAACUGACUAUAUUCAUGAACGGCUACGUUCGGUAUUUUGAACGUUAUUUUGAAUCCUCGAAGUAGACCGGUCGCACAGACUGAUUCUCUGGAACUGUUUUGGGCAUGAAACCAUGUGUGUG